rnacentral:tRNA from 1 species
ACCUGGUUGGCUUAGUCAAUAGAGCAUGAGACUUUGAUCUCAGGGUUGUGAGUUUGAGCCCCACAUUGGGCA